rnacentral:rRNA from 1 species
AAAUUGAAGAGUUUGAUCAUGGCUCAGAUUGAACGCUGGCGGCAGGCCUAACACAUGCAAGUCGAACGGUAACAGGAAGCAGCUUGCUGUUUCGCUGACGAGUGGCGGACGGGUGAGUAAUGUCUGG